CCGCGUCGGAUGCUGCCGCUGCCGCUGCUGUUGCCUCGCAGCAGGUCCAGACGCAGCAGAACUUAAAGAACCAGGCCUACGCCGCGAAGGUUGCGGCCCAGGACCAGGCUAUAGCCGCGAAGAACGCUGCGGCCGCGGCGGCUGCGGCGGCCAA
rnacentral:ribozyme from 1 species